GCAAUGGCCUGGACUCCUCUCCUCCUCUUGCUGCUUGCUCACUACCCAGGCUCCUGGGCACAGUCUGGGCUGACACAGGAAGCAUCGAUGUCAGGGUCUUUGGGGGAGACAGUCACCGUGUCCUGCUCUGGAACCGAGGACAAUGUUGGUAGCAAUUAUGUAGGCUGGUACCAACAGAUUCCUGGUACUGCCCCCAAAACUGUAAUGCUUGGAAGUUCUCGACCUUCAGGGAUCCCAGAUCGGUUCACUGGUUCUGAUUCUGGAAACAAGGCCUUUCUGACCAUCUCAGAUAUUCAGCCUGAGGACGAGGCUGAUUAUUACUGUUCUUCAUGGGAUGACAGUAUAAACCAUGGUCACAGUGCUUCAGACUCAAGGAGAAGUGAGACAAAAACCCAGCCCUGCUCUGAGUGCUGA